UUAAUUGAAGAGUUUGAUCAUGGCUCAGAUUGAACGCUGGCGGCAGGCCUAACACAUGCAAGUCGAACGGUAACAGGGAGCAGCUUGCUGCUCUGCUGACGAGUGGCGGACGGGUGAGUAAUGUCUGGGAAACUGCCUGAUGGAGGGGGAUAACUACUGGAA
rnacentral:rRNA from 1 species